GACAGAGGGUGCAAACGUUGUUCGGAAUUACUGGGCGUAAAGCGCGUGUAGGCGGCCAUCUAAGUCGGGCGUGAAAUCCCACGGCUCAACCGUGGAAGUGCACUCGAAACUGGAUGGCUAGAGUCCUGGAGAGGAAGGUGGAAUGCUUGGUGUAGAGGUGAAAUUCGUAGAUAUCAAGCGGAACACCGGUGGCGAAGGCGGCCUUCUGGACAGUGACUGACGCUGAGACGCGAAAAGCGUGGGGAGCAAACAGG
rnacentral:rRNA from 1 species